ACGGGUGUAGCUCAAUUGGUAGAGUCGCGGUCUCCAAAACCGAAGGUUGGGGGUUCAAGUCCCUCCUCCCGUG
rnacentral:tRNA from 1 species